GCUGGCGGCAUGCCUAACACAUGCAAGUCGAACGAAGGCUUCGGCCUUAGUGGCGCACGGGUGCGUAACGCGUGGGAAUCUGCCCUCAGGUACGGAAUAACUCAGGGAAACUUGAGCUAAUACCGUAUAAUGACUUCGGUCCAAAGAUUUAUCGCCUGAGGAUGAGCCCGCGUCGGAUUAGCUAGUUGGUGAGGUAAAGGCUCACCAAGGCGACGAUCCGUAGCUGGUCUGAGAGGAUGAUCAGCCACACUGGGACUGAGACACGGCCCAGACUCCUACGGGAGGCAGCAGUGGGGAAUAUUGGACAAUGGGCGCAAGCCUGAUCCAGCAAUGCCGCGUGAGUGAUGAAGGCCUUAGGGUUGUAAAGCUCUUUUACCCGGGAUGAUAAUGACAGUACCGGGAGAAUAAGCCCCGGCUAACUCCGUGCCAGCAGCCGCGGUAAUACGGAGGGGGCUAGCGUUGUUCGGAAUUACUGGGCGUAAAGCGCACGUAGGCGGCUUUGUAAGUUAGAGGUGAAAGCCCAGGGCUUAACCCUGGAAUUGCCUUUAAGACUGCAUCGCUAGAAUCGUGGAGAGGUAAGUGGAAUUCCGAG
rnacentral:rRNA from 1 species